rnacentral:tRNA from 1 species
GGGGCUGUAGCUCAGUCGGUAGAGCGCGUCGUUCGCAAUGACGAGGUUGUCGGUUCGAUCCCGAUCAGCUCCACCA